rnacentral:lncRNA from 1 species
UCUCGAUCACCCCCUCAAUCACCGUCUCCGUCAACCCAUCGCCUACCGUCUAUAUCACCUCGAAGUGCUGCAAUCUCAUUCGACAAACCUUCGACCUUCAUCCCAGAUCAUCAACCCUCUCUAUCAUCUCUCGACGCAGCCCGUCGACCUGCCCCGCUAUAAAUCUACUCAGACGGGCGUACAGAUCAUCAAAAUAGUGCCUCUGACUACGUGUGGGAGAUCCACAUGAAAGGUCUCUGGACUGGGGAGGCAGAGGAAAUGCCCUCGACGGCAGAGGUGGUGAUGUCCUCGACGGAGGUGAUCGUCGAUCAACUGGAUCACACUCCUACACAAGCAACAACAUUACAAAUUAUUAACUUAAUCCGUAAUUGCUAACUCGUACAAAACGGUAAUCAAUAGAUUUUAUUCAAUUCGCUCAUCCAAUCUCGGUCGUGGAUCGAAU